GGGCUUGUGGCCUAGCCAGGAUAGGGCGUUGGCGUCCUAAGCCAAAUGUCGGGGGUUCGAAUCCCCCCAAGCCCG
rnacentral:tRNA from 1 species